CAGUCGCCGCGGGAAUACGAAGGGUGCAAGCGUUAAUCGGAAUUACUGGGCGUAAAGCGCACGUAGGCGGAUAUUUAAGUCAGGGGUGAAAUCCCAGAGCUCAACUCUGGAACUGCCUUUGAUACUGGGUAUCUUGAGUAUGGAAGAGGUGAGUGGAAUUCCGAGUGUAGAGGUGAAAUUCGUAGAUAUUCGGAGGAACACCAGUGGCGAAGGCGGCUCACUGGUCCAUUACUGACGCUGAGGCACGAAAGCGUGGGGAGCAAACAGGAUUAGAUACCCCCGUAGUCCCUGUCUCUUAUAC
rnacentral:rRNA from 1 species